rnacentral:rRNA from 1 species
AUGAACGCUGGCGGCGUGCCUAAUACAUGCAAGUCGCGCGAACAGACGAGGAGCUUGCUCCUCUGACGUUAGCGGCGGACGGGUGAGUAACACGUGGAUAACCUACCUAUAAGACUGGGAUAACUUCGGGAAACCGGAGCUAAUACCGGAUAAUAUAUUGAACCGCAUGGUUCAAUAGUGAAAGACGGUUUUGCUGUCACUUAUAGAUGGAUCCGCGCCGCAUUAGCUAGUUGGUAAGGUAACGGCUUACCAAGGCAACGAUGCGUAGCCGACCUGAGAGGGUGAUCGGCCACACUGGAACUGAGACACGGUCCAGACUCCUACGGGAGGCAGCAGUAGGGAAUCUUCCGCAAUGGGCGAAAGCCUGACGGAGCAACGCCGCGUGAGUGAUGAAGGUCUUCGGAUCGUAGAACUCUGUUAUUAGGGAAGAACAAAUGUGUAAGUAACUAUGCACGUCUUGACGGUACCUAAUCAGAAAGCCACGGCUAACUACGUG